GGAGGAGGCUUCCUGGAGGCAGUGUUGCUCUGACCCUUUCUGACCAGAGAGCUAUAGCAGCGCUUUAUUGAAAUCAUCUGGAUAUACUCCACCUAAUAAAACGGUAGUCUAUGGCUGCUGGACUUCCUGUGAGAAAGAAGAAUUAAUCAGAUAUGCACAGACACUAUAAAGAGGAAUGGAAGUUGUAUCAGUUGCUGUAACAUAAUGGAAAACGCGUUGGAUCCGUGUGUCAGUGGGUGUAAGAUGAUUUCAGCACAGUGCUGGUCGCUGGAGCCAUAUCCACUUUCCCCAGCUGAAGAUGGCGUGUUUGUGUUACGGUUGCUCUCAUUCAAGACAAACUGAGCAGGAACACUGGUACAAAUAUUUUUGGGAGUUAUUUUCUUUCCCCUGCAGUCAGCAAAAGCAGUGUUUGGAAGCUGUUCUGGGUGGAAAUCAUUCCAAGUGAAAGGUUUGAAAGCAAGCAGCCUAUUGUCUGCUGCUUACCCGGAGCCUCUCACAAGGACACGCAUUGUGUUGUGGGGUGCCGCGAAGAUGUGCGUGCUGAGCUGCUGAGACAUCUUGGAUGAGUGCACAGAGCAACUUGUGGCUUUGUUGAAUGCAAGAAGCAAAUGCAGAAUUGGUUCCUAAGUCUGAAAAUGAAGAAGCAAAGAGCUGCCAUUCAGGAUGUCUGAUUUUGUACUGUGCAAGCAAAUAAUGGCUUGCCCACAUGUCACUGGCCAUCUUAAACUCCAGGAUGGUCUGCAAAGGCUCUUUCUAGAGGCACUUGUAUAAUUUAGGUCUGUAUUAGGAAAAUAAAAUAAAACUUCCUUCCUGGCA